UCCGCGCUAGUUCAACUGGCAGAACGCAUGGCCCUGGACCAUGAGACCGGGGUUCGAAUCCUUGGCGCGGAGC
rnacentral:tRNA from 1 species